rnacentral:rRNA from 1 species
CGCAUCUGUGCAUGCAGCAUAUCAAUAAGCGGAGGAAAAGAAACUAACAAGGAUUCCCCUAGUAACGGCGAGUGAAGCGGGAAGAGCUCAAAUUUGAAAUCUUAAAGGGUUUCCCUUUACGAAUUGUAGUUUAAAGAAGUGUUUUCUGUUGAGGUUUUGGUAAAAGUUCUUUGGAAUAGGACAUCAUAGAGGGUGAAGUCCCGUAUUUGACCUUUACUUUCAACUUUGUGAUACACUUUCAAAGAGUCGGAUUGUUUGGGAAUGCAGUCCAAAAUGGGUGGUAAAUUUCAUCUAAAGCUAAAUAUUGGCGAGAGACCGAUAGCGAACAAGUACCGUGAGGGAAAGAUGAAAAGAACUUUGAAAAGAGAGUUAAACAGUACGUGAAAUUGUCAAAAGGGAAGCGUUUGACACCAGUGUUGUUUUUCUGAAAAUCAAUUAAAGAGCUGUUUAUGCUAAGCUGUUUAGACUUUAUCAGCUAACUGUUUAGUUUUGAGCUUUUCUUUAAUGCACUUUUCAGCUAACAAGUCAACAUCAAUUUCUUUUGCUGUAAAAAAGCUUGAGGAAGGUGGCCUGAGAUUCGUCUUAAGUGUUUAUAGCCUCUUGCCUAUGCAGUCGGAGAGAUUGAGGUCUGCAGCGUAGAUCCUUCGGGGCUAAAUGCAUUUGUGCUAAGUUAUAGCAUUUUAUAGACAACCUUGUUGACUAUGAUUUGUCUUGUAGCUUACUCGCUUAUGUUAUUUUACCUACGCUAGGAUGUUGAGCGCAUGUCUCUCUCU